UUACAGAUGGUUGUGAGCCACCAUGUGGUUGCUGGGAAUUGAACUCAGGACCUCUGGAAGAACAGUCAUCGCUCUUAACCUCUGAGCCAUCUCUCCAGCCCGCCCUUCAUUUUUUACAUAUUUCUUGCACAUUUUUGCACAUCUGCUGGAUGAAUUUUUUCUAUACUAUAUACGUGGAGACUUUCUUAGUAGGAAGCUCUCUACUGGUGAUGUAUCUUGGGCUACAGUGCAGGAGUUAUUUUCAUGUACUACUUAUGGGUUAUUUGCCUGUAAUUAUCACCUUUGGGCACAAUGUGAACCAAUGUUUCUGUGAAUUAUACUGAAACUGGGACACUUAUCAGUUCAGGUGGGGUGACAAAGACAGCUCAGGGUGCAGAGUGCUUGUUGUGUCAAGACUCCUACAGUGGGUGUGGUAGCUCAUAGAAGAUGAUGCAGGUUUUCUCAGAAACUGUGAGAUCUGCUACAUGCAAGGGCUAUUUUUCCUGGAAUCCUCAGCGGAGGGAGAUCCAUGUGUAAUAUCAGAAGAAAUUAUGGAAAGACAUAAUAUAACUCUCAGAUGGAUAGAAAACCAAAAGCUAUAUAUCAAAUCAGGAGACUAUGCUGAAUUUCAGUGUAAAUCUGGAUAUAGACAAACAAAUACAAGACCUCCAUUACGUACACUGUGCAUUGAUGGUCACAUUGAUUUUCCCAGUUGCUCCAUAUACAUGAUUAAUUCAAAGGAUGAAUGAACCUUUGUUUGGAAAUAUGCAUGCAUAUUGCUAAGAAAGUUCCAGUAUAAGUUUGGGGCUGGAGAGAUGGCUCAGCCGUUAAAGGCUAGGCUCACAACCAAAAAUCAGUAUAAGUUUGAAGUAUUAUUUAACUCAUUUCUUCUCAUAAGUAUAAACUUGUGGUGGUAUAUGAUGAUUAAUUUGGAGCCUAAGAGACCACUGCUACAAAUGCAAAGCAGUGCAUUCAAAACUCUUAAAGCAGAAUGUGCUGUGUGCUAGCACAAAAAAACAAUGGUAAUAAAAGAGAUGUAACUUCUUAGUGUCUGUUUCUACCCAUCGUUUUUCAAAAUCUCUCCAAUCUUCCUCAGGACAUUUUGAUCUAAGGUUCAGAUUCCUGGUGAACAGAAGUCAUAUUGUUUCAUCUUCAAAUUAGUAUUAUCUCACAAAUGUGUAAUAAUCAAACUGUCAUACUUAACAUUACUAAUGAAUAUAAAUAAUUGCCAAAUACUACUUUUGUGUUAAUAAACAAAUCUAAGAAACA